rnacentral:misc_RNA from 1 species
AACGCACAUUGCGCCCUUUGGUAUUCCGAAGGGCAUGCCUGUUCGAGCGUCAUUAUCACCCCUCAAGCCCGGCUUGUUGUUGGUCGCGGCGGCCACUUCCCUGGCCCGCCCGUCCCAAAGAUAAUGACGGCGUCUGUGAGGACUCCUGUACACUGAGCUUUCGGGCACGUACACGGCUAGAAGUCCAGACCCGGUCUGACGGUCGCCCCCUUCACCGGGGGCGGCCACCCCCCCUUUUUACCAAGGUUGACCUCGGAUCAGGUAGGAAUACCCGCUGAACUUAA